UACAGAGGGUGCAAGCGUUGUUCGGAAUCAUUGGGCGUAAAGCGUACGUAGGCGGCUUGCUAAGUCGGGUGUGAAAUCCCAGGGCUUAACCUUGGACGUGCAUCUGAAACUGGCUAGCUUGAAUCUCGGAGAGGGUGGUGGAAUUCCCAGUGUAGAGGUGAAAUUCGUAGAUAUUGGGAGGAACACCGGUGGCGAAGGCGACCACCUGGACGAAGAUUGACGCUGAGGUACGAAAGCGUGGGGAUCAAACAGG
rnacentral:rRNA from 1 species